rnacentral:rRNA from 1 species
AUUGAACGCUGGCGGCAGGCCUAACACAUGCAAGUCGAACGAGUGGCGGACGGGUGAGUAAUGUCUGGGAAACUGCCCGAUGGAGGGGGAUAACUACUGGAAACGGUAGCUAAUACCGCAUACCAUCGGAUGUGCCCAGAUGGGAUUAGCUAGUAGGUGGGGUAACGGCUCACCUAGGCGACGAUCCCUAGCUGGUCUGAGAGGAUGACCAGCGUCCAGGGACCUAAGGCAGGGUGCAGAGUCGUAUGGGGGACAGCAGUGGGGAGUAUGGCGCAGUGGGGGAAAGCCUGAUGAAGCAGCGCCGCGUGCGGAAUGACGGCCUUGGGGGUGUAAACGGCUUUCAGCCAUGAAGCGUUAGUGGCAGAAGAAGCACCGGCUAACUACGUGCCAGCAGCCGCGGUAAUUC